AUGUCUAGAAACUUUGAGGAUAUUUUUGUAACCCCACACUUUUUCCUUUUCAGAGUCAGAGCACUAGAGCAAAAUGAAUCCUGGAACGGGAAUGGAAUGCUUGGAUUUGGAAGACCCAGUGUAAGGAAGCGUCACAGUUGGGAAGCAUCCUGGCUGUGCCAUGGUAAAGCUGCAUCCAAGGCAGUGAUUCUUACCCUUGGCUACACAUUGGAAUCAUCUGGGAAGCUUAAAAAAAAAAUAACAAUGCCUGUGACGUGGGCAAGAUGGCUGAAUAGGAACAGCUCUGGUCUGCAGCUCCCAGCAAGAUCAACACAGAAGGCAUUUAUAAAGUUUAUAGGGUAUUCAAAUAGGAAGAGAGGAAGUCAAAUUGUCUCUGUUUGCAGAUGACUUGAUUGUAUGUUUAGAAAACCCCAUCAUCUCAGCCCAAACUCUCCUUAAGCUGAUAAGCAACUUCAGCAAAGUCUCAGGAUACAAAAUUAAUGUGCAAAAAUCACAAGCAUUCUUAUACACCAACAAUAGACAGAGAACCAAAUCAUGAGCAAACUCCCAUUCAUAAUUGCUACAAAGAGAAUAAAAUGCCUAGGAAUUCAACUUAUAAGGGAUAUGAAGGACCUCUUCAAGGAGAACCGCAAACCAUUGUUCAAGGAAAUAAGAGAGGACAGAAAAAAAUGGAAAAAAGUUCAAUGCUUAUGGUUAGAAAGAAUCAAUAUCAUGAAAAUGGCCAUACUGCCCAAAGUGAUAUAUAGAUUCAAUGCCAUCCCCAUCAAGCUACCAUUGACUUUCUUUACAGAAUUAGAUCAAAACUAGUUUAAAUUUCUUAUGGAACCAAAAAAGAGCCCACAUAGCCAAGACAAUUCUAAGCAAAAGGAACAAAGCUGGAGGCAUCACACUACCUGACUUCAAACUAUGCUACAAGGCUACAGUAACCAAAAUAGCAUGGUUCUGGUACCAAAACAGAGAUAUAGACCAAUAGAACAGAACAGAGGCCUCAGAAAUAAUGCACAUCUAAAGCCAUCUAAUCUUUGACAAACCUGACAAAAAUAAGCAAUAGGAAAGGGAUUUCCUCUUUAAGAAAUGGUGUUGGGAAAAAUGGGCUAGCCAUAUGCAGAAAAUGGAAACUGGACCCUUUCCUUAUACCUUAUAUAGAAAUUAACUCAAGAUGGAUUAAAGACUUAAACAUAAGACCUAAAACCAUAAAAACCCUAGAGGAAACCCUAGGCAAUACCGUUUAGGAUAUAGGCAUGGGCAAAAACUUCAUGACUAAAGCACCAAAAGCAGUGGCAACAAAAGCCAAAAUUGACAAAUGGGACCUAAUUAAACUAAAUAGCUUCUGCACAGCAAAAGAAACUAUCAUCGGAGUGAACAGGCAGCCUACAGAAUGGGAGAAAAUUUUUGCAAUCUAUCCAUCUGACAAAGGGCUAAUAUCCAGAAUCAAUAAAGUACUUAAAUAAGUUUACAAGAAAGAAACAAACAACCCAAUCAAAAAGUGGGUGAAAGAUAUGAACAGACACUUCUCAAAAGAAGGAAUUUUUGCAGCCAACAAACAUGAAAAAAGGCUCAUCAUUACUGGUCAUUAGAGAAAUGUAAAUCAAACCACAAUGAGAUACCAUCUCAUGCCAGUUACAAUGGUGAUCACUAAAUAGUCAGGAAACGAGAUGCUGGAGAGGAUGGAGAGAAAUAGGGAUGCUUUACAUUGUUAGUGGGAGUAUAAAUGAGUUCAUCCAUUGUGGAAGACAGUGUGGUGUUUCCUCAAGGAUCUAGAAUCAGAAAUACCAUUUGACCCAGCAAUCCAUUAUUGGCUAUAUACCUAAAGGAUUAUAAAUAAUUCUAUAAAGACACAUGCACACGUAUGUUUACUGCAGCACUGUUCACAAUAGUAAAGACUUGGAACCAACCGAAAUGUCUCUUAGUGAUAGACUAGAUAAAGAAAAUGUGGCACAUAUACACCAUGGAAUACUAUGUAGCCAUAAAAAAGAUGAGUUCAUGUCCUUUGCAGGGACAUGGAUGAAGCUGGAAGCCAUCAUACUCAGCAAACUAACACAGGCACAGAAAACCAAACACUGUAUGUUCUCAUUCAUAAGUGGUUGUUGAACAAUGAGAACCCAUGGACACAGGGAGGGGAACAUCACACGCUGGGGCCAAACAGGGCAUGGGGGGCUUUGGGACGGUUAGCAUUAGGAGAAAUACCUAAUGUAGAUGAUGGAUUAAUGGAUGGUGUAUAUGUAUGUAACAAACCUGCACAUUCUGCACAUGUAUCCCAGAACUUAAAGUAUCAUUAAAAAAAAUAACCAUUCCCAUCAUAAUACUAAAUAAGGAGAACAAAAUUGGAGGAGUCACACUACCCGACUUCAAGACUUACUGUAAGACUUCAGUAAUUGAGAUAGUAUUACACCGGUGAACAGAUGG
ensembl:lncRNA